rnacentral:misc_RNA from 1 species
GCAAAUUCAGACCCAUUCACCAGUGAAAUCAUCGAUUGACCAGGAGAACUUAUGAUCUUAUCCACAUUUAUCUUGGAAUUCCAUCGAAGAAUAGAUAUUAAUGAGGAUUCUCCCAAGACAGCAAGAUCCACCAAGGACCUUACUUCAACUGCUCCAUUCUGAUACACUAAAACCAGUCCAAAAUUUUCAAUGUCAUUCUUAAGAAUGGAAGUCCAAGAACAUGGUUUAGCA